CGUUUCGUGAUCCCAACCCGCACCCGAGCCAGAGCAAACCCUACCCGAGCGAAUCCUCCCGCACACCCUGCCUCCACCGCACCCAUCGUCCCCAAUCCUGCACGCGCCGCCGCCCCCGUCGCCCAAACUUCCACGGCCCAUCACCUCCACACGCCGCCGAGCUGCAGCGCCGGCAGCUGCCACUGCCGCAGCCUCGCAGGGUUGGGGACGAAGGGCACAACCUAGCCAAGGGACGGCCAUGGAGGGCAGCAGGCACGAGAAGGGGAGCCAAAGGGAAGGAAGGAGGGCGGCGCGACGGCUGAAAGCUUCACCGAAACCAGGCGGACGGCGGCGCUUCCGCGCGAGGCAUGACGGGGGGUAGGGGCGGGCCUCCCCGACCUUCGAUCCCCUCGCUUCAACGGCGGCGGCACCCCGUCCUUUUCUAAGGCUUGCAACCACGUCCACCUCGACGUCCUGUGCUUCGGGGAUGGUGGCGCUUCUGCUCCUCGUGCGGGAGGAUGAUGCAAAAUCGUGGAUGAAGUUCGGGAACUCCUGGUCUUGACCGACGCCCUCUGCUCCGGUCCCCGACACAGCAACCAGAUCGUGGGUGCCAUCCUGCCCUAAGGUUUUGUUCGAUCCUACACUUAAAGAAAAUCAUACUGAAGAUCUGAGCUUAAGUGUUCCAACAGCUGAAGCACCAGCUCAAGAUGAAAGGAUCCUCUUAAUAUGAUUGUAGGUCCAUUCCUGUAAAGUGCAGUUAGAAUAUGGAAUCCACCUGGAACUCGGUUUUAAAAACAGAAAGCAUAUGGAAUUUUGAGGUUUCUGCUUUCUAUGUGAGUAUCUUGGUGCAUGCUUGUUUCUGAAUAAAAUGCAGAGGUCAUGAACAAAUUAAAACAUGCUCUCUGAUGGGCAAGGGUAGGUUUAUUUUUAGUUGAAGUGGUAUCAGUUGUAUACUUAUAUACACGCCAUUUGAAAAAUAGUAUGUAUCUCCUUGCAAACUACUACGUAUUAUUUAAAUGUUUUACAUAAGACUGUCCGUCCAGAUACAAUAACUAUUUGGUAUUUUAAUAACUUGAAUUGCACGGCUUGAUCGCUCUGCUUGGGUCUUCUCUUAUGUAUGAGUCACCAUGUGCGGGUUAAAUAAGUGCCCCAGCUUCGGUGAUGCACGGGCGAGGCAACACGAUUUGGUGCAGUGGCCCUCCUUCCAAGAAAUCAAGUUUUUACGUUCAGAUUUUAGAGCUCUUGAGUUUCAGCUUAGUUCAAGGAUAUAAAAGCAUACUCCUUAUGGAUUCAACGAGGAAGACCAUUAGCCACCACCUUUUUAGAAUUGGAUGGUGUGGUGCACCUUCAUCCUGCUGUCCAAUUUCUUAGCUUAUUUGCUUUAAAUGUACUACAGUAUAUAGCAGUAUAAGGAUCCAAUCUUGUGACGCCUCUCCAUUUGCACCAUCGUCAAAAGUUGCACAUGAGUUGAUUCAGACUUUCAGAGUUUUCAUAGAACACCUAGAGUUAAUCAGCCUGAAGGUAUAUCAGAUCCUAUGGAAAGGGGAUCCGGUUCAGAUUUGUCACUACUCUGUGUUGUUGGAUAGCCAUGGUGUGUAUUAGUUUGUUUUUACCACAGUUCGGUUCUUGGUAGUUAGGAUAUCAGGUGUAUACAUUACUUUUCUUAUGAAUUUUUUCUCUUUUAGUGCACUAUAUAUCUAUCUAUCUAUCUAUCUAUCUAUCUAUCUAUCUAUCUAAGUUUUCAAAGAAAUUGAUGGCGGUGGCUCAGAGGCGUCGUGGUGAAUGGUGAAGCUUCUAAAAUGGAUGGAAGAGAGGUGGUGACUUGCGGCUGGGAGACGUACAUAUUUGAGGAGAUACGAUUCAUAAGGUUUCAUAUUAACAAAAAAUGAUGAUCUUUGUAAAGUAAUCCGAACAUUUUGUUGAUUCUGGGACAAUUUUAUUCUCCAAUAUGAAUCCGUAAGAAAAGAUAUGACAAUACAUUUGUGCAAAUUGAUAAUGUAAGCUCAUCUCGGAACUUUAUUCUUUUUCUAAGAUUGAUUUACUUGGUGGUGCUAACUUCCAUUCUGUCAAAACAGGACAUGUGUGCUAUUUCUGAAAAAGGAAGCUUCUCUGUUGGCUGGCAUCCCUGAUGGUGCCUUUAGAUAUGUAGGAAAAGAAAUGGUAUCUCAUAAUUCACUGGAUGUAGACCAGUAGGGUCAAUUACAAAUUGUUGGCUGUAAAUGACUUUCAGUUUCUAGCUUUCAUAAAAAAAUUAGACAUGUACUGUUUAAUUAAAAUUGUGUGAGUAUGUUGUGGUUGAUGGUGGUCCUA